CAUCUUUCAAGUUUGAAUCGGAACCAACCAAUACAAAUAAUAUUGAGUAAAGCAGUGAAGAUAAGGAGGAUAGCCAAUUCCCUGAAUUUUCUCUCUUUGCAAUGUACCAGGGGAUGCUGGAUGGACAGGACUGAGCAAAGAGUAAUUCAGUGCAAGUGGAUAAUGAACAUUAUUUACACUUGUCUCCCAUCACCAACAUCCAGAUCUCUUCCUAACAUAAUACUGGUAACCAAGGACAUUUAUUUACGCCCUUAUCUUCUCUCUGCUGCAAGGCAGAAGGUCAGCAGAAAACGUGAUUCGGCAUUUCAAGCAGUUGCUUCAUUCUCCUGCCCACUUAUAGAUGAGGACUGGUUGGCAAGUAAAUUUGGUGUUGACGGAGUCACUUUUUAAGGUAUUAGCGAUUGUUGUGCCUUUAGGUUGGAGCUCCAGAAUGGAAGCUUGGCCAAUGCGAUGUGCCAAGUGGUUUUAUAACUUCGUUCAAGGUUCUGAUGUGGCACGGAGGCACAAUUGAGUUGCUGCACACAGGAAUCUCAGAAGGGGAGAAUGGCAUUGCUGUUAUUCAAGGAGGAUUAUCACUAGCCUUAAACUGCCAGAUUGAUAGAGGAAGUUCAGGGUCUCCAAAUACUUAGGCCCUUCAUCAGGUUAAAGAAACCCCUCCAGAAUCAGUUCACAUCGGUUAACUAGUUUUUUCUGACAAAAUUUAGAUACAGUAAGACAACCAAUAGAUGUAUUUGAUUAUGUAGACCAAAUUAGGCCCCUGUUUGAUACAAAUUCUUUAAAAUUAAUUUUUCUCCAAAUUAAUUUUCAACCACAUUCUCCUAUUAAAAUAAUUUUACACGUGGAUCCAUAAUUUUUUCAUACUUUUUAACAACACAUUCUGCAUAAGUAUCAUUUUUCACAAAUUCUACAUCAAAGCAGGCCCUAGAUAAGAUUAAUGAGAAUGCAUUUAUUGAGAAAUGUAGUUAGUAUUGAUUAGCAGAAAUUCUGAGGGCGAUGUGGAGGUGUAAUAUAUCUGCAACAAUAUGUUAUGACCUCGGAGAAUCUAGUCUCAAACGCAAGCGCUUCAGCCCUACGCAUAAUGGGUUUACUCAUAAGCAAUCUGACAGUAAGCACCCAAGAAGAAACUUAUGCAGUGGGACUAGAGGGAUCAGAUAUCUUUAGCAGGCCUCCGCUUUUGGCAAAUUUUAGCAUUAUUUCUCCCGACUUUGGCAGGAGAAAGGAUCAGGUUUCCAAGAAAUUCUGGGGCUGAUGAUGACUUAAAAAGUUGGUGAAUUGUGAUAUAAAUGGAAGAAGAGUUGACGGGUGUAGAAAAAGACAACUACAAUUAUUUGACCGAUGAAGUGACCAGGAUUUAUACCAG
rnacentral:lncRNA from 1 species